rnacentral:rRNA from 1 species
ACCUGGUUGAUCCUGCCAGUAGUCAUAUGCUUGUCUCAAAGCUUAAGCCAUGCAAGUGUAAGUUCACGCCACGCAUAAGAACGGGCGAAACCGCGAAUGGCUCAGGAACCGGACCUAAUCCUCGGGACCGUAAUCCUCCUCGGAGGCGAUGGAUAACUGUGGCAAUUCUAGAGCUAAUACAUGUGACACAGGCCGCGAUCGGUCGUCGCGCCGUGGUCGCCUCGCCUUAAUUGCGCGCUGGCACCCGCGACGGCCGUCUUGGGUCGCGGCGCUACAUAUUAGACUGAGACCGAUGCGCGAUUCCCGCCCUCCCUUGCUUUCAGUGGCCUUUCGGCCUCGGUUGGCUCGGGGUCAAAGGACGGCGCGCUCCGCUUUGGUGACUCUGGAUAACUCACUGGUCGAUCGCACGGGCUUCCACGCCCGGCGACGGGUCCCUCGAGGGUCCGCCCUAUCAACUGUCGACGGUCGGUUAAGUGCCUACCGUGGUUACUACGGGUAACGGGGAAUCGGGGUUCGAUUCCGGAGAGGGAGCAUGCGAAACGGCUACCACAUCCAAGGAAGGCAGCAGGCGCGCAAAUUACCCACUCCCGGCACGGGGAGGUAGUGACGAAAAAUAACGACGCGGGACUCUGUCGAGGCCCCGCGAUCGGAAUGAGUACACUUCAAAUCCGUUAACGAGGACCAACCGGAGGGCAAGUCUGGUGCCAGCAGCCGCGGUAAUUCCAGCUCCGGUAGCGUAUAUUAAAGUUGUUGCGGUUAAAAAGCUCGUAGUCCGAACUCGGGUUCGUGGUCGCUCACGCGGCCCCGGGGCGGCGGCGCCAUCGUCCAUCGUUGACUUUGGUCGUCCGUUCGCAUUCCCGGCCCUUUCCGCCGGUGUCGAUCGCUACAUAGACGGCCGCGAGCCAGCUGGCUGGAGGUGUGAUUUUCUGCGUCGUUGGUUUUUGGGAUCUCUCCGCGCUCGUCGUGGUCUGGUUUCUUGGGCCGACUUCGUGGUGGUCCGGGCUCUCGGGCCCCUUUCGGUUCACGCCCUCGUGUUGUCGUCGGCGAUUUCUCCUCCAAGGGUGCUCUUAACCGAGUGUCCGCGGCGGCCGGUACGUUCACUUUGAAAAAAUUAGAGUGCUCAGAGCGGGCUGUUCAAGCUUGCAUACGAUAAGCAUGGAAUGAUGGAAGAGGGCCUCGUCUACGUCUGUCGGUCUCCGUCUACGGCGAGGCAAUGAUCGAAGGGAGCGGUCGGGGCCACUCGUAUUGCGACGUUAGAGGUGAAAUUCUUGGAUCGUCGCAAGACGAACUGCAGCGAUGGCGUGUGGCAAGCACGUUUUCCUCGAUCAAGAGCGAAAGUCGGAGGUUCGAAGACGAUCAGAUACCGUCGUAGUUCCGACCGUAAACGAUGCCGACCGGCGAUCCGCCGGCGUUCGCUUCCAUGACCCGGCGGGUAGCCUGCGGGAAACCAGAGUUCGGUUCCGGGGGGAGUAUGGUUGCAAAGCUGAAACUUAAAGGAAUUGACGGAAGGGCACCACCAGGAGUGGAGCCUGCGGCUUAAUUUGACUCAACACGGGAAAACUCACCCGGUCCGGACACCGGUAGGAUUGACAGAUCGAUAGCUCUUUCUCGAUUCGGUGGGUGGUGGUGCAUGGCCGUUCUUAGUUGGUGGAGCGAUCCGUCUGGUUGAUUCCGAUAACGAACGAGACUCCGGCCUGCUAACUAGUGCGCCGAUGUCAGUGCGGUUCGUCCUUGCGGGGGCGUCCGUGUGCGGGCUCGUGGCGCGUGGCGAUUUUUGAUCGUUCGCGUGUCCUUCGCGGUCCGGGUCGGUUUCUCACGCACUUCUUAGAGGGACGGGUGGCAGAAAGCCACACGAGGCGGAGCGAUAACAGGUCUGUGAUGCCCUUAGAUGUCCGGGGCCGCACGCGCGCUACACUGGAGGUAUCAGCGGGGACUUCGCCCCGGCCCGAGAGGGUCGGGAAACCUCUCAACCACCUCCCGUGAUAGGGAUCGGGGCCUGUAACCAACCCCGUGAACGAGGAAUUCCCGGUAGGCGCGGGUCAACAGCCCGCGUCGAUCACGUCCCUGCCCUUUGUACACACCGCCCGUCGCUACUACCGAUCGAACGGUCCGGUGAGGUCCUCGGAUCUGGCUGACGACRCCGCCGGGUUAGGCUCCUCACGGGGUCUCGCCUCGGCGUUCGACGCCUGGAGAAGACGACCGAACCCGAUCGUUUAGAGGAAGUAAAAGUCGUAACAAGGUUUCCGUAGGUGAACCUGCGGAAGGAUCAUUA